rnacentral:rRNA from 1 species
GACGAACGCUGGCGGCGUGCUUAACACAUGCAAGUCGAGCGGUAAGGCCCUUUCGGGGGUACGACGAGCGGCGAACGGGUGGAGUAACACGUGGGUGACCUGCCCUCCAGCUCUGGGAGUAAGCCUGGGAAACCGGGGUACGUAAUACCGGAUAUGACUCCAUGACGCAUGUUGUGGGGUGGAAAGCCUUGUGCGGCUGAGGAUGGGCCCGCGGCCUAUCAGCUUGUUGGUGGGGUGAGG